rnacentral:rRNA from 1 species
UACGUAGGGGGCGAGCGUUGUCCGGAUUUAUUGGGCGUAAAGAGCUCGUAGGCGGUUUGGCAAGUCGGGUGUGAAAACUCCGGGCUCAACUCGGAGACGCCACUCGAUACUGCCAUGACUCGAGUCCGGUAGGGGAGUGCGGAAUUCCUGGUGUAGCGGUGAAAUGCGCAGAUAUCAGGAGGAACACCGGUGGCGAAGGCGGCAUCCUGGACCGGCAUUGACGCUGAGGCGCGAAAGCCAGGGGAGCAAACGGG